UACGUAGGCAGCGAGCGUUGUUCGGAGUUACUGGGCGUAAAGAGUGCGUAGGCGGUUUUCUAAGUUUGGUGUGAAAUCUCCCGGCUCAACUGGGAGGGUGCGCCGAAGACUGGAAGGCUUGAGUAUGGGAGAGGUAAGCGGAAUUCCUGGUGUAGCGGUGAAAUGCGUAGAUAUCAGGAGGAACACCUACGGUGUAGACGGCUUACUGGACCAUAACUGACGCUGAGGCACGAAAGCGUGGGUAGCAAACAGG
rnacentral:rRNA from 1 species